UGUCAGUUGUAGUUCCAUGAUAAGUCAUCUUUACUGGUGGAUUCUAUAGAAACUGGAUUAGAAACUAAUCAAGUAGUAGAAGGUAGAAACUAAUGGAUAAGCAACGCAACGAGUGACAACACGACAAUGACAAGAGACGACGAUAGGCGACAAUUGUGAGCGUGAAGCAUGGUUCUUCUGACGGCUAGAUAUGUUCUUCCAACCGUUCUCUCCGUUAGCGUUUGAUAAGCAAUGAUAUCAUCAUAAAGAACGAUCAA